rnacentral:rRNA from 1 species
GAUUAACGCUGGCGGCGUGCAUAACACAUGCAAGUCGAACGAUGAAACUUAACUGAUUUCUUCGGAAUGAUUUUAAGUGGAGUAGUGGCGGACGGGUGAGUAACGCGUGAGUAACCUGCCUUGGAGAAGGGGAUAGCCUUUGGAAACGAAGAAUAAUACCCUAUGAUAUGAUAAUAUCUCAUGAUAUUAUCAUCAAAGAUUUAUCGCUCUAAGAUGGACUUGCGUCUGAUUAGUUAGAUGGUGAGGUAACAGCUCACCAAGGCAGCGAUCAGUAGCCGGCUUGGGAGAGUGUACGGCCACAUUGCGACUGAGACACGGCCCAGACUCCUACGGGAGGCAGCAGUGGGGAAUUUUGCACAAUGGGUGAAACCCUGAUGCAGCGACGCCGCGUGAUUUAGAAGGCCUUCGGGUUGUAAAAAUCUUUUGUAUGGGAAGAAAAUGACAGUACCAUACGAAUAAGGACCGGCUAAUUACGUG